UACGUAGGGUCCGAGCGUUGUCCGGAAUUAUUGGGCGUAAAGAGCUCGUAGGCGGUUUGUCGCGUCUGCUGUGAAAUCCCGAGGCUCAACCUCGGGCCUGCAGUGGGUACGGGCAGACUUGAGUGGUGUAGGGGAGACUGGAAUUCCUGGUGUAGCGGUGGAAUGCGCAGAUAUCAGGAGGAACACCGAUGGCGAAGGCGGGUCUCUGGGCACUUACUGACGCUGAGGAGCGAAAGCAUGGGGAGCGAACAGG
rnacentral:rRNA from 1 species